rnacentral:rRNA from 1 species
GAAUAUUGGACAAUGGGGGAAACCCUGAUCCAGCGACGCCGCGUGGGUGAAGAAGGCCUGCGGGUUGUAAAGCCCUUUCGGUAGGGACGAAAGCUUCCGACCUAACACGUCGGGAGGUUGACUUAACCUACAAAAGAAGCACCGGCUAACUCUUUGCCAGCAGCCGCGGUAAUACAGAGGGUGCGAGCGAUAAUCGGAAUUACUGGGCGUAAAGCGCACGUAGGCGGCUUUGCAAGUCGGGUGUGAAAUCCCCGGGCUCAACCUGGGAACUGCAUCCGAGACUGCUUUGCUCGAGUAUGGGAGAGGGAAGUGGAAUUUCCGGUGUAGCGGUGAGAUGCGUAGAUAUCGGAAGGAACAUCAGUGGCGAAGGCGACUUCCUGGACCAAUACUGACGCUCAGGUGCGAAAGCGUGGGGAGCAAACAGG